CCGGCCAUAUCGCGUUGAAACACCGAUUCUCAUACGAUCACAGAAGUUAAUUAACUCUGAGCCAGCUUAAUAUUUAGAUGGAUAACCGUUUCGGGAUACCAGGUGCUGUAA